UGCCAGCAGCCGCGGUAACACGGGGGGCGCAAGCGUUAAUCGGAAUUACUGGGCGUAAAGCGCGCGUAGGCGGAAUGUUAAGUCUCAUGUGAAAGCCCUGGGCUCAACCUGGGAACUGCAUGGGAUACUGGCAUUCUGGAAUACAGUAGAGGGAGGUGGAAUUUCAGGUGUAGCGGUGAAAUGCGUAGAUAUAGGAAGGAAUACCGGUGGCGAAGGCGGCCUCCUGGACCAAUACUGACACUGAGGUGCGAAAGCGUGGGGAGCAAACAGGAUUAGAUA
rnacentral:rRNA from 1 species